UCAAGACAUGUAUUGCAGCUGUUAAAAACUGAAUUUCCACCAAUAAAAUUUAAAAAGUCAAAUUCAAUAAAAUAAUUUGGUACUAUAAAUUAGCUCUACCUGAGUCUUCAUCCGCAUGAGUUCCAGGAGCCACUUUUAUAUCUACCACAAACAGAGCAUUGCUAAUGAACUACGGAUACCAGAUGAACCACAAGUGACACAUCGACGUUAAUUGAACCCCAUCGGAUUCCAAAUUGAAAAUCAGAAGCAGAAAUCCAUUUUUAAGAUUCAAUUGAGAUUCCAGCUCCUAAAUCUUCCUCCUUAGCCUCUUUUUAGCUUCUCUGUGUUGUUCUUUCUUAUUUCUGCCUUUCCCAUCAACUUCCCUCCAUGUGUGUACUUUUUGAGAAUUUUUGAUGGUGAAUUAAGUGUGUAUAUCGAUGAAGUCAGAGAGAAACGAGAAGGGAAGGAGUGUGUGAUGGAUCUGAUUUGGGUGGCAAAGAGGGGCGGGGGAUAGCUAUGUUCAGACAAUGGCUGCUGCUCUUAGGGUGUCUUCGGUUGUGAGAUGUUAGUUUUUCG
rnacentral:lncRNA from 1 species